rnacentral:rRNA from 1 species
GUGGCGGCGAGCUUACACAUGCAGUCGAACGAUGAACCUCACUUGUGGGGGGAUUAGUGGCGAACGGGUGAGUAACACGUGAGUAACCUGCCCUUAACUCUGGGAUAAGCCUGGGAAACUGGGUCUAAUACCGGAUAUGACUCCUCAUCGCAUGGUGGGGGGUGGAAAGCUUUUUGUGGUUUUGGAUGGACUCGCGGCCUAUCAGCUUGUUGGUGAGGUAAUGGCUCACCAAGGCGACGACGGGUAGCCGGCCUGAGAGGGUGACCGGCCACACUGGGACUGAGACACGGCCCAGACUCCUACGGGAGGCAGCAGUGGGGAAUAUUGCACAAUGGGCGAAAGCCUGAUGCAGCGACGCCGCGUGAGGGAUGACGGCCUUCGGGUUGUAAACCUCUUUCAGUAGGGAAGAAGCGAAAGUGACGGUACCUGCAGAAGAAGCGCCGGCUAACUACGUGCCAGCAGCCGCGGUAAUACGUAGGGCGCAAGCGUUAUCCGGAAUUAUUGGGCGUAAAGAGCUCGUAGGCGGUUUGUCGCGUCUGCCGUGAAAGUCCGGGGCUCAACUCCGGAUCUGCGGUGGGUACGGGCAGACUAGAGUGAUGUAGGGGAGACUGGAAUUCCUGGUGUAGCGGUGAAAUGCGCAGAUAUCAGGAGGAACACCGAUGGCGAAGGCAGGUCUCUGGGCAUUAACUGACGCUGAGGAGCGAAAGCAUGGGGAGCGAACAGGAUUAGAUACCCUGGUAGUCCAUGCCGUAAACGUUGGGCACUAGGUGUGGG